AUUCUAAUUACUUGAUGUGUUACACAUAUCAUAGCGAUAACAUAACAUUCGUACGUGGUAUACACGCGGAUGCUAGGAAAGAGCGAAAGAGAAGAAAAAGUCUGAAUGUAAAUUUAUGUAGUUUGAAUCUAGUAAAUGCUUGUAAUCGGUAUUGAGACAAUAGCACCGGGGGAAGUUAAUUAAUUUAUGUAAUCUUUACUUUCAUCUGUUCGUAUUUGGCACACGUGGACCAAAGCCGAACCAGCAGCUACGAACCACGCCUUAGAUGCCUCGGGUGACGCGGGUAAUCAAAGGCUCUUGAAAUCUGCUCUUGGCGGUUUUUGGGUAUACCUACUUUUUCUUCGUUACUUCGCGGACGCCCAAGAAUAUUGAAGGUAGAGUGUUUCGCCGAUAAGAUCGUUGAAAUCUCUUUAAACGAUUUCGUAGUUCGAUCAUCACGAAGAAUGUCUCACAUUCCUGAAUCGUUCGGAGAAAUUGGUCCGGUUGUGUACGUAUGUACAAACAUGAAUAAGUACCCCCGUAUUUCUUUGACAAACGUGGUCCCGCUGAGGAGACAAGUGAAAGUAAAAAAUUUCAGUCACUGUAUCAGCUGCUGAUCCGUAAUACCUGAACCGCGCCCAUCUCCUCAGGAUGUGUUACACAGUCUUCAUUAUUAAGAAACGAAAGUUGUAUCAUGAAAUAAUUGCUCGGAUCAGUCUAGACUACUUGAACGGUAUAACUGUUUUUUUACAUCGCGUUUCACUCGCACAACUUGAUAAACGAAAAAAAAUGAACGAUGAUAAUUCUCCAACAAUUAUCUCCUCUUAUUCGUUCUCCCGAUCACUCGUCAUGAUCGUCGUUGAAAAAUCGGUCACAGUUACGGAAUUCACAUGCUUGCAGUUAGUGCCGGUGUCUCUGUUGCCCCUUCAAUUUAGUCUGUGAAUAUAGCUCGAAAUCGGUGAAUAUCUGUGAAAAUUCGUAGCCGCAAAAUUUACUUCGACCUCGUUGAGACUCGAGAGCAGCGAAAAUGUGUUAUCCAUGCAUCGUGUAUAAUUUUGCUGAAGGAUCGGACAAAACAUUAUGUCAGAUGAGCCUGAAGUAAUUUUAUCUCAUCUCGUUAACACCGGUUAACACGAAUUUCGGGACUGGGUUCUCAAUAUCAAAUUCUGAUCCCUUCCAUACCCAACUAAUAAGAGAAAAAAUCGAAACGCCAUUUCGGUAUUCGAGGAACAUCACCUGUUUUCUCUAACGUUUAUUGCACAUAACAGUUCAAGAACUGAUUCACUUUUAUGAAGAAAUAAUAUAAUUCUUAAUAAACUAUGAAUGUAAGAAAAUUGAUAAACGAAUUCCAAAUAUGAA